GAAAAGAGGAGAGUGGGAAAGAGAGUCUCGUUAAAUGCUUCAUUCCUUGUGACGAAGCUCGCCAUGAAUAAAGCUGUCUCGUCCAAUACUACACCAAGCACAGCCAAUAGGAAACGCCCGUUCGCAUGUUCUCAUACAAGCCGGUGCCGCGGCUGGACUUCCCCUCACCCGUCUCCCUCAUACUUCCCUCCUCUCCAUAUAUAUGUUCCGAGGGAAUCCGUCUCACAUCCCACCGUCCAGCGACACGAGCAGAGAGAGCCUUCCCCGGUCGUCGCUUCAUUCGACCGAUAGCGCGCUUGCGAAGAGGAACUCACCCACACUUCCUCCAAUCGCUCCCGCAUCACUGACAAAACCAAACGGGGGUUCGGUGCAAUACUUUAACACGACCACCUUCAUUCCAAUAUUCUCAGUUUCAUCGCCAGCAUCAUCAUCGCUCUCCUCUUCUUACGCCAGCAUUCUUAUGGGUCGUUUUUAAUUAUCCUCGACGAAUCAUUAAUAAUCCGUUCACGAAAUACACGCCACUGGAGUGGUGCAGGUCGGCCAAUGUAGCACGGAGCGUCAACUCCUUUUAAUUAAUAUCAACCAUACGAGCUGUAUACCUUGCUUCUAAUUGCCAUUUGGAAUAUUCUUACCGUGUCCGUAGUUUUUGACGAAACACUACGACUUGUUCUGGAACUUUAACUUUCUGCAAAGAGAUUGUCGACUUUUUAUUGAAAGAAGAUUUUAAUCAGGCGUUCUAUUUUGACGGCUUCCUUCACUGAGCAAGGAAUACAAACGAGCCAAGAUGAAAGUUGAAGAAACGGCAUUGAGUCCUACAAGCGAAAAUGGAUCGGCAGCAGCAGGUCUCGCAACCAAUGGAACCAGGCCAUC